GACGAACGCUGGCGGCGUGCUUAACACAUGCAAGUCGAACGGAAAGGCCCUGCUUUGGUGGGGUGCUCGAGUGGCGAACGGGUGAGUAACACGUGAGUAACCUGCCCUUGACUUUGGGAUAACUUCAGGAAACUGGGGCUAAUACCGGAUAGGAGCUCCUGCUGCAUGGUGGGGGUUGGAAAGUUUCGGCGGUUGGGGAUGGACUCGCGGCUUAUCAGAUUGUUGGUGGGGUAGUGGCUUACCAAGGCUUUGACGGGUAGCCGGGCUGAGAGGGUGACCUGCCCCAUUGGGACUGGGCUGCGGCCCAGCCUCCUCCGGGAGGCAGCGGUGGGGAAUAUUGCACAAUGGGCGGAAGCCUGAUGCAGCCAAGCCGCGUGCGGGAUGACGGCCUUCGGGUUGUAAUCCGCUUUCGCCUGUGACGAAGCGUGAGUGACGGUAAUGGGUAAAGAAGCACCGGCUAACUACGUG
rnacentral:rRNA from 1 species